rnacentral:rRNA from 1 species
AUGUUUAAUAACGCAGGCCCCAGGAGCACAAACCUCAAGCAGAACAUGGUGAUUAAGCUGAAGGCAGUGUAUACUCUGGUGGAACAGCUCUAUACUGGGUCACAACGUGCUCUGGCCGUUGUGGCUUUAUCAAAUGAUGUUCCCCAUCUUCUUCAAGACGUGCUACAGCGGCUUGCUGUGCUACCUCAGCGAAUCCAAGAGCUGAGACGGGCAUCUGCAAGAGCCGGAGCCAUAGCCGCAUUGAGCCGGGCGAAGGCGUGGCUUCCAGAGUUAGACCUGGCCGACAUUGCUCUUGGAUAUCCAAGUUUGAAGGAAGACGGCUCCUUGUUUGAUGAGAAGGAUUUCACCGCCUGCGUGAAGGACAUACGCCCUGUGGCCACUCUCAUUGGGAACGACACUGACCUUACCAAGUAUCAACCGGGUUAUGACAGUGAGAAUCGAAGACUCCCAACACCUCUCUAUGAUGAAGUCAGCCUGAUCCCUCCAAUCCGUAAGCAUACCUUUGCCCCUGAAGUCGACCCAGCUGGUUUAAUAGAUGACGAAGCUGAGUUUGAAGCUUUGAGUAGCAUUGACUGGGCAUCGUCCACCUUCCAGGACAGGGCAACCGACGGAGAGGCGGAAAAGGAUAACCCGGAAUCUUCAGGUCAACCGAAGGAGUGA